rnacentral:rRNA from 1 species
UCGGAUGGUCGCAUGGCGACCGAGGAAGAUUCAUCGCUUCAGGAGGGUCUCGCGGCCUAUCAGCUAGUUGGUGGGGUAACGGCCUACCAAGGCAACGACGGGUAGCUGGUUUGAGAGAACGAUCAGCCACACUGGGACUGAGACACGGCCCAGACUCCUACGGGAGGCAGCAGUGGGGAAUCUUGCGCAAUGGGCGAAAGCCUGACGCAGCAACGCCGCGUGCGGGAUGACGGCCUUCGUGGUUGUAAACCGCUUUCAGCAGGGACGAAAAUGACGGUACCUGCAGAAGAAGCCCCGGCUAACUACGUGCCAGCAGCCGCGGUAAUACGUAGGGGGCAAGCGUUGUCCGGAUUCAUUGGGCGUAAAGAGCUCGUAGGCGGUUCAGUAAGUCGGGUGUGAAAGCUCCGAGCUCAACUCGGAGAGGCCACCCGAUACUGCUGUGACUUGAGUCCAGUAGAGGAGCGUGGAACUCCUGGUGUAGCGGUGGAAUGCGCAGAUAUCAGGAA